UACGUAGGUGGCGAGCGUUGUCCGGAUUUACUGGGCGUAAAGAGCGCGCAGGCGGUCGUCCAAGUCGCGUGUGAAAGCCCCCGGCUCAACUGGGGAGGGUCACGCGAUACUGAUCGACUCGAAGGCAGGAGAGGGAAGCGGAAUUCCCGGUGUAGUGGUGAAAUGCGUAGAUAUCGGGAGGAACACCAGUGGCGAAGGCGGCUUCCUGGCCUGUUCUUGACGCUGAGGCGCGAAAGCUAGGGGAGCAAACGGG
rnacentral:rRNA from 1 species